rnacentral:misc_RNA from 1 species
GUGAAUCAUCGAAUCUUUGAACGCAAAUUGCACUCUCUGGUAUUCGGGUGCGUAUGUCUGUUUGAGGGUCAGUUUAAAUAAAAAUGGGUGUGGUUGGUGCCUUUCGUGGUGACGCACCGGAUUUGGGUCGUUAUGUUUUCGGUUAAGUGAACUAAAAUUUUGUAUGAUUUUUUUGGUAUGUAUUUAAUUGAUUUUAUGUACGUUUGUGUUAAUGAUUAAUAGGCGUGGACAUGCUAAUGUUUCGAGUGUAUGA